rnacentral:rRNA from 1 species
CUAACGAGGAAGAAUAUGCAACUUGAUUCCACUCAAUGUGUAUUAUGUAAUGCUGAAGAUAUGGAAGAUAGAAUGCAUCUAUUAUUUUCCUGCCCACUUAGCCAGGGAUUUUGGUGGAACACUGGUUUUGAAUGGAACACAGAUCUGAAUUUUCAUGAUACGAUAAUCGAAGCACAACAAAGAUAUCAACUACAAGACUUCAUGGAAAUUAUGAUUGUGGGUUUCUGGAGUAUAUGGAAUCACAGAAAUGGUCUGAUAUUUGAUGGAAUCCGAUGCUCAAUCAAUGAAUGCAGAUAUGACUUUAUCAGAUCUUUCAAAUUAACAAUGCUGAGUGCUAAACCCAGUAUCAAGGAGGGCAUGUCAUCUUGGAUUGACAAUAUUUAA